UGAAGAUGAUGAAGAAUUAGAAGAUAAUGAAGAUGAAGAAUCAGAAGAUGAUGAUAAUGAAGAAUCAAAAGAUGAUGAAGAUUAAGAUGAAGAAGAUAAUGAAGAGAAACUGGACAACAUGGAUGAAGAAGAAGAAUUGGAAGACUAGAAAAUGUAAAGAAUACUUGGAAAGGUGAUCGUUUACAGGGUAUUGCGUGCUUUAUAUAUUUAUCACGAAACAAGAAGAUGGGAGGGUAAUUCCAGUAGAAGAAAGUCUAGCUAGCUAGUCAGCCAUUAAUGAAUGGGGGGAGUGCAAACUCAGAUUAUCAAGACCGGUCUGUUAGUUACUAUCAAAAUGGGUAGUGCCUCUAAUCGACAUGUAUUCAAAAUGUGGACGAACUAAUGAUGCUCGAGGAGUGUUUUAAGAAAUGAAAUAAUUGUUCAUUAUUUUUUUUUGUUAAUUUAAUGUGUUUUCACAAAAACUUUUUACAAUAGUUGUUAUUCAAUGGAUCACUCAUGAAUCAUUUUUCAACAUCAACUAUUUUACACCA